CCCGGGCCUGGCUGCUGGGGACAGUUUGCACCUUCACUUAAAAUGAACCUGCUACGGAUUUUCCUGUUCAUGCUGGUGGCCCCUUCAGGUGUCCUCUCCCAAGUGCAGCUGAAGGAAACGGGCCCGGGAGCGGUGAAACCCGGAGAGUCCCUGACACUCACUUGUACCAUCUCUGGAGACUCGGUUUCUAGCGCCAGCGUCACCUGGACCUGGAUCCGGCAGCCUGCGGGGAAAGGGCUGGAAUGGGUGGGACGCAUUUACUACAAACCGAGUCAGUGGUACACUAACUACGCCAGCGGUCUGCAGAGCCGCGUGUCCAUCACACAAGACACUUCCAAGAACCAGUUCUCUCUGCAGCUUCGCUCGCUGACAGCUGCGGACACCGCCACCUAUUACUGCGCCAGAGAGACACAGUGACACAGAGCAGAGCGGGACUGGCACAAAAAGGGGAAGCGGAUUCUGACCACUUAAUUUUCACAAUUUGAGCCGAAAGAGCUGAGAUUCUCCUCUCCCCCUUCCCCAUAACACUCCAUGUACGUGGAAAGAAAAUGCAAAGGGGAGGCGGGUACGGAAUCUGAGCGAACUUCUGAUGUAUAUUUGCACCAAGGUGAUGCCACGAACAGGAGGAUCAUGAGCCCAGUGACACGCACCAACGCCCUGAUGGCGAUAUUUACAAAAGUGCUGGCAGCGCUUGUCCAGCAAAAUGAAGUAUCCUGGAUCUUCCAAGGGCUUUUCGGGGAAACACACAAACAAAUCCAGUCCUUCCCCUCCGGAUGGGAAAGAGAAAUAGGGAAAGAGAUAGCAAGGGACUAAACGGAAAAAUGAGGUUGACCUGGAAAGUUUUCAGGAGCACCGAUUUGAAUCGAGCAGCUGAGGAGGAUGAAGACGUUGAUAAUAAUAAUAAUAGUAACAAAAUAAUAACACGUGGUGUUCAGAUCGGGUGCUGUACUAACACCCAGGAAACAAAGAACAGGAAAUUGCACAAGGAAAACGAGGAAGUGGA